UACGGAGGGGGCUAGCGUUGUUCGGAAUUACUGGGCGUAAAGCGCACGUAGGCGGACUGGAAAGUUGGGGGUGAAAUCCCGGGGCUCAACCCCGGAACUGCCUUCAAAACUAUCAGUCUUGAGUUCGAGAGAGGUGAGUGGAAUUCCGAGUGUAGAGGUGAAAUUCGUAGAUAUUCGGAGGAACACCAGUGGCGAAGGCGGCUCACUGGCUCGAUACUGACGCUGAGGUGCGAAAGCGUGGGGAGCGAACGGG
rnacentral:rRNA from 1 species